GAGAGCGAGCGGCCGCCGCCGCACCGGCUCUCGGGGAAGGAGGCGAAUACUCGGCGGCGGGGGUGUGGGCUCGGGGCGGCCCUCCCGCCGGGAGCACGCCCACGGGCACGCCGGCCACGGCCGCCGCCUCACGGCGCCGCGUGGAACCGCCGCAGCUGCCCCCGCCGACCCGCCUGAGGCGCUGCCCCGACCUCGGGGCUCUGCCGAUCCGCGGGGUGCCUCCUCGCUGCGUCCUCGCUGCCCCAGCGCCCGCCCGGCGGGAGGAGCGCUGCGGUGCGCCCCUCAGCACAGGGGGAGUGUCGGCCGGAGCUGAGGAGGCGGGCUGGGUCCUGCGGGCUCCGUUAGCUGUCCAGAGAGAGAACGCGCCGCAGUGAUGGGAAGAAUGCGAAUGCCUCUUUAGAGGCGGGUCUGGGAAACCUGUUUUCCACCCCUACGUGAUCCAAAUAAGAGCUCCCUGCGACCUGAGAGCCAACCUUGCAUUUUGCAGGACUGAGUCUUUCUGCCUUGACCACAAUUCUUUCUGCUCCGUGAUGCGCUAAAGCACAAAGCAUGUAACGUCUUUCCUGAUCUAAUUAGUGAUGCCUCCAUCUGUCUCGUGGUGAAAGUAACUGGCAUCAACACCAAGCUACAUGGCUUUGUUGUCUCUCUGUCCUUCAGCCUUUCUGUACUCGUGUAACAUGUCACCUGUUGAGAGAAAUGUGGAUUAUUACCUAUUUCUGAUGUAGAACACUGCGUGGAGAGGCAUACAAUAAAAUACAAUAAAAUUAAAUCAUGAAAAGAUGUCAUCAAAGCACCGCUACAUCAUAUCAUUAAAGCUAAGUUGCAAUAAAAACAAUUCAAAUUCAAAUGAAA